CUGCUCGCGUGCGAUCCGGCGCCAUCGCGCCUUGGGCGAGCCUUGGCAUGGGAAGGAGAGAGCGGAGCGAGCUGACGCCGAAGUGGCGCUGGCGAUGGUGGCGCUUGCGCUGGAGGACCGGUCGGAGAAUGGCGCCAGGAGACGGCUCACGGAUGACGCAGGAGGUUUUGGUGUGACCCGGCGCUAUGUCUGUGAUACCACCCAGGAGCUUGACCGAGGAUGCCCCGGAAUCCUAAUUUAGCGAACCUCUUUUCUGAAGACGUUUUGCCUGAUGAGGAAGAGGAGGAGGAAAGAAAAGGAUUUUUGCUUGAGUACCAUUUGCAAACUUACUCAAUAAUUUGAAGAUUUAUAUAAGGGCCUGUUGAAAGGUGGUGUGUCCCUUCCU